CUAAUUUUGACCACUGAACAGAAGUUCCCCCGCUCCCUGUUUUGCUAAGGAAAAGUAGCACUGAAUGACUUACUUAACUAUUCGUAUCACAUAACAAGCUAGGAGAAAAUUAGUAAUACAACUCAACUCUGCACCCUACCCAAGGCUCUUGUUUCCCACUAUCUCACCGGCAGUAUGCUCUAAGAAACGACUCACGCCUAACUCUGAAGAGAGGCAAACAGAGCAGUGGAUACCUAAUCCCUGAGGGCCGGUCCACACAAUGAAAUAUUAACAGGAAUUCAGACUGAUUCAUUUCAUGAAGUAUUUCCCUGAAAAACAAUCACGCAUUUAAACUAGGUUCAGAACCCUACUCUGGGCAUCCAAAACCAAGUCACAUUUCACACUUUUCUUUGAAGUGGUAAGGACCCGAUGGGCUGGGAGCAUUUUACGUUAGAUUUCACUUUUCCUUUUGGAAUAAAAGCUACCUUAAACCCUACUGUUAAGGAAGAGAUUAGCUCCUCUGGAAAUGCCUACUGCCUGUACGCAGGAAACUCAAAGGAGAAGUCACUUAGAGCAGAGUGUUUACACUGAAGGGAUGCCUGGAGAAUGACUGUGAGGCAGCAGGUCUCGAUAUUCAGAACAUGAUAUAUACAACCAGGAGCUCCUGGGUGACAGCUCGCAGCGCUGGCACGUGCUCCCUGCUGCCUCAACGCAGCCUGCCAAAGCCAUGCCUGAACAGUUUAAAACAACACAACCCGAGCCGGAUCAGGCACACCUGAGCAAAAGCCACAUCCAAGCCACUGCGUCUUUACAGAAGCUACACCUGCUGCAGCCUCCACGCUAAGUACAAUGUGCCUUAUUUCCAAACUGAGCCAGAAACAGUGUGGAAAACAAGAGGGCUGGCAUCUCUCAAGCAGUCUGGUAAAAGGGCUUUUAUUUCAGCUGAUAAACAGCACGCAAGUCAAUCACACCGUCAUCUGGGUUGAAAAUAUUGCCAAAAUUGCAUCAGCUCAGCGUAAUGGUGAGACAAGUGUGAGCUUUUGUACUCGUAAUUAUCUGGAAGGAAAAUAUACUUUACUCCGAAACUGUUACCCGCUGUCACUUUACUGUAGACACCUGCAGUCUUAUCAGAAGUCGUUAGACGCAGUGCUCUAAAAAGCUCAGAUGUUCAGAGAUAUCCCUGCACUUAAUUUUUACUAUCGGUAGUUCAACUGAAAUAAAUGUCAUCACUGACAGCAGUAAGUAUGCCCCUGCACAGGUUCACAGGCUUAAACCACACAAGCGUGGAGCUAGCGCAACCAAAAUCGAUGUUUCUUGGCAUAGUCACUACAAUGAGGCUGAGAGCUUUUGUGCAAAAUCCAGUUCAGUAUGACAAACACGCAAGGCUGCCCUGAAACACGGUAAGGUUUGUUAAGCCAGCGAUUACAGAAGGACAGAAGUACAACUUCUCACAAAGGUGAAGAAAAGAGGUUGGAGUUGGAAGGUGUGGGGAGUGGACAUACGCAAGACCCAGAGAGUGAGCUGGCCGUGGACAGCCAGCCGCCAACCUGCAGCUCCAGAACAACAACGCUGCCUCCUCUACCACAACCGUGGAGCCUCCUUUGUGCUCCUAUCAGCCCAAUUUUUGGAACGAGCAACUGGCAGCCAGCAGCAGUACGGGUAAAACCUGAGCAGCACGACCAGCGCAAGGUGCAGGCACCACCACACCGCCCUCAGCCAGCGCUCAGGAAGCGGCGUGCGACAAGCACCGCACACAUCCAGGGCGCUCGUUCUCAGGCUAUUGUGACUGGAGGAAAAAAAUAAUAAAACAAUAAAAAAAAAAAAAAACAGCAACGUGGAGUCGCACCCAAGACUUUUCCGUGGCUGGGCUGGCCCAGCAGCCUGGGCGCGGGAGCAGGCAGCGAGGCCAAGCCUGCACGGUUCACCGGAGCCUUGUGUUAAUAAACAACCCGGAUCAGGGCCAGGCCAGGAGCAAGUGUGAAUUUCCUCCUCCUCCUCCUCCUCCUCCUCCUGCCGUGGGCACACGCGUGACGAGCCCCCACGCCGGAGGGGGGCUGCGCUGCGGGGCACGGCCUGUUGUCUUUUGUAUUUUAUUUUAUUUUUAAAUAAAAGUGAACUCAGCCAGCCCGAUCCCCUGGAAACGCCCAUCUGGCCGGGAAGCGGCGUCCCGCUGUGUUUUUCCGGUAGAUCGUGCCACCAGACACAGUAGGUUGUUCUGGCAGUGCCUACGAAGACCAAGAACCGGCGUGGAUCUGCAAUUUGAUAGUCCACAACCCCGGCAGAGAGCUGCAUGCUCCACUGGCAGGCAACACUGGGAGAGUGAUCGCUUGAUUUGGAUGCUGGGCUGUGCCUGGGUAUUGGUAAAACUGGAUUGUUCAAGACACAGGGUGAGAAACGGGCUGCAUUACUGCAAGAUCAGGAAGGACACUUCCAGGUACCGGUUGUGCAUAGAUCACCAUUUUGCUGUUGCUGGCUACACAGAUAAAAUUGUUUUUCCUGGGGAAAAGAGGUGGUUGCACUGGGAAAACUGGCUACCCAAAGUAGUUACAUUAGCAUUGCUGGCAUGCCUGGGUUCUCAAAUGCUGAGGAGCACCAGGAAUAAACUUAUCGCUGUGCUGUACCCAUGUGGUGUAUAUAAUCAGCUGUGAAUUAAUUUAUUUCUUUUUUAACUGCAGCUAGUCAGCAUUUCUAAACUGUAGCUAGACUCCAGUCUGGAUACAAGCAAGUCCUUCAAACUGAGCAGAGCCGGAGCAGGCUAAUAACGUUUGGAUUUCAUUUCCCAGAAAUCCCACAUCACUACAAAGUAUUUCAGUAGUGGCAGGAGCACUGGAAAUGCUCCUUAUGAUCAAAUAGCAGCAGCAACCACUCUGCUGAUAAACUGUGCCCUGAGCUGGACAGUGCUGAAACAGUAUUAAAAGAAACAAGGCCCACUUGUCCUGCAGAACAAGUCACUGCCAUCAAUGGUCUAACUGCAGCAGCUUUAGCACAACAUCAAGGUUUAAGAAAAAAUUUAAUAUAGACGCAAAAUUAGCUGUCUGAAUGAACCAGCAGGACAGUAUGUAUACGGAGAUUGUACUGUUUGAGAUAAAGCGUGAGCUCUGGUCUCCUUGGAAAAGCUAGUGUGCAGAGAGCUAAAGCAUGAAAUUACAGUGUACCAACUAUUUUACAGUGGAAAAUGUGUGCUGCUUCACUUUCAAUCCCUAUUCUUUUCAUGGGGUUACUGCAAUGGGAAGUAGAACAGCUGCUGUAAAGCCUAGCAAGUGACAUGAUUCCUGUGAACAGUUGUAGAAGAAAUCUCAGAGCUAUUUAUGAAUGGAAAGCAUUAUGCAAAUAAAAUACAUUAUAAACA